rnacentral:snRNA from 1 species
AGCUUUGAGCAGUGGCAGUAUCACGGCCAAUGAGGUUAUCCGAGGUGUGAGUUUGCUAAUUGAAAGGAUAUACUGAAUUCUUAAGCUAAAAAUAGACUGAUCUGAAAAAAUAAGUUCUUAGAAAUAAAGAUUUA